rnacentral:rRNA from 1 species
UACGUAGGGUGCAAGCGUUGUCCGGAAUUAUUGGGCGUAAAGAGCUCGUAGGUGGUUUGUCGCGUUGUCCGUGAAAACUCACAACUCAAUUGUGGGCGUGCGGGCGAUACGGGCAGACUGGAGUACUGCAGGGGAGACUGGAAUUCCUGGUGUAGCGGUGGAAUGCGCAGAUAUCCGGAGGAACACCGGUGGCGAAGGCGGCUUCCUGGACCGACACUGACGCUGAGGCGCGAAAGCUAGGGGAGCGAACAGG